UGAGGAAUUUUGCGCAAUGGGGGAAACCCUGACGCAGCAACGCCGCGUGAGUGAUGAAGGCUUUCGGGUCGUAAAGCUCUGUCAAGUGGGAAGAACAAGCCUGAUGUUAAUACCAUCAGGAACUGACGGUACCACUGAAGGAAGCACCGGCUAACUCCGUGCCAGCAGCCGCGGUAAUACGGGGGGUGCAAGCGUUAUUCGGAAUCAUUGGGCGUAAAGAGCGCGUAGGCGGCCCUUUAAGUCAGAUGUGAAAUCCCGGGGCUUAACCCCGGAAGUGCAUUUGAAACUAUUGGGCUUGAGUAUGGGAGAGGGAAGCGGAAUUCCUGGUGUAGAGGUGAAAUUCGUAGAUAUCAGGAGGAACAUCGGUGGCGAAGGCGGCUUCCUGGACCAAUACUGACGCUGAGGCGCGAAGGCGUGGGUAGCAAACAGGAUUAGAUACCCUGGUAGUCCACGCAGUAAACGUUGAACACUAGGUGUAGCGGGUAUUGACCCCUGCUGUGCCGCAGUUAACGCAAUAAGUAGACCGCCUGGGGAGUACGGCCGCAAGGUUA
rnacentral:rRNA from 1 species